AACAGCUGAGCAACAACAAUAAUGCCUAAGGCCCAGACGACUUUCCAGGGCCGGUGUGAGGAUUAACUGAGAUUGGAAAGUGCUUUGUAAACUCUGAGGACCCACAUGGAUAGAAGGUUCCAUUAUUACUGUGCUGUUGGCCUACGUGAAUCCAUGUGAGAAAAUUGCUAAAUCUGUCCAGGCCUUCUGGGCUGGUAACGAGAGAUCAGAGCAGCAAGAAGGGAAGGGAGCCCUCUCUUAUUCCCGCUGAGGUCGUCAGUGGCUGCCUCUGAUCAGGGAGAGUCUAGUCCUGCCCAGGCCAGGGAAACCGAGGCACAGGGACAGAAUGAUGUCUCAGAAGGAGGGAAAAGCAGCACACAGCUAGACAAGCAAGUUAGUGGUGUGCCUCCUUCCCUUGGUCACCUUACGCCUAUAAAGCAUCCAGAGCUGCUUCCUUAAGGCCACAUCCCCAUUCCCUGCCUUUUAAUCAAAUGUUGCAAAAUCUGCGCUUCCUAGGAUUGAAAUACACCAGCCGUCUCUAAUCCUUUCUCAGCUCCAGUAGCCGGCCAGCAGCUCCGUCCCAACAGCACGAAUAGCUGCGACAGAAUAGCUGUCAGGAAGUCAAGGAAAGGGAUAGAUUAAAGGCUGCUGAUUGUAUGCCUCCCCUGCGAGGGCCCAGAGUCAUCCUAUCUGUUGUUUGUUGGUGAUAGCAGGUGACGGAUGAGAUGGGGCCGGAGAAGUUUCUGGUGAUCAACCCUGCCAUAGCAGAUCAUCCUUUAAUAAUGUUAGUAUGUAGGUCCUUUCCUACCACAUAGACGCUAGAGCCGGGACAGCUGUGAUACACAAGUCCUCCCAGACUUGUUCAGCUUAAUCCAUUUGCAACUUGGGAAAAAUAAGGUAAUUGUCCAAUGGAGAGAAAAAGAAAUCUAUUAAUAUUUGCUCCAAAUCCAAGUAGUACAGACAGCACUUAAUUAAUGGAGCAGAUUUCUCACUGUGUAUUCAAGCUAACAUAGUCAUUGUUCAGGAGAGAUUAGACUCUUAAUGUAAGUUAGUAAGUUAAACUAGACUUCCAUCUAAAAAUAUCCAUCAUUUCAGCUAUUAAAGGGCUGAUGUCUUCUUUGGUGACAGAUAUAUUUCCCUUCAUUUCCUUGGUUUUAUAAAAUGUAAAGUAUGCAUUGUGUGUAAUGCGAGAAAUCCACGGAGGUAGAUGAAAUGGAGAUUGUGCCCCCGCCUGUCUCUCUCAGCCUGCCCCUUUGAGCCACCCUGUAUUCCUGAGCCUCUUCAGCCCAUAGACCUCCUGGCACCAGAGAGAAAAAAACAGCAAAUGCCAUUUGUCAGGGUCUGAUGCCAGCCACCUAAUCUGUUUGCAGAAUGAGGGCUGGGGGGAAUCUGAUUAAGUAAUUUAGAUACCUGUGAGUUUAAUAAUACCUGAACUGGGGUUGGCCAGCAGCCUAGGGUUUCACUUGUAGGAUCUCCCACAUUCUUCCAUCCCUCCUGUUAACUACCGUUGCACAAUACCCUGUCUGAACGGAAUGGGUGUGGAGUCUACAGAUUAGACACAGUUUGGCCUUGGCUUUGGGGGUUGCCUGGGCAAGAAGGGAGGUUUCCAGCGCGCUGGAAUUCAGGCCCAGCACUCUAUCUAAUGCUCUACUCUGCUGCCCUUACUUGUACCCUGGAUCCAAAAAAUGCUUUGCGCUGCGCGCAAACACACACACACACACACACACACACAGAGUAUUUGUGACAUACUCUUACAGAGUCCAGUUCGUCCUAAGUAUCACCCUUAAAAAUUGUAUUCUGAAAGUUUUUUUUUACACAGCACAAAUAAUGUUUCCAUAGCCUUUUUAAUGUUAAUUUUUAAAAGAGAAGAGUGUAUGAAAUUAGCUAGGAUUUGACCCAAGCAGGAAGUGAAACUGACCAUUUUUGACUAAGUUGCUUCUGUCAAUAAAAACCCAGCAACAACACGAGCAGGGACGUUUCCAAGUGAUGGAUGGCCGUUGUGUUGUAACUGCAGUUUUGAUUGGAGAAAGUCCAAUGUCUCUCCAGGAAGAUGGCCUAUGAUUCUUCAGAUAUUUCCUUUAUAAAAGUAAGACCUAGAAGGUCAGAGCUAACAGGAACCUGUAGAUCAUCUUCUACAACCUCUCCACUCCCAUUUACAGAUGGCCUUAACCCUGACACCAAGAAGCUCCUAACAACUACUACCACCAAGAAGAGGGCUAAGGUGGGAAAAGGAGACAUGACCAAGGAAGAUGAAGGGUGUAGCAAAGGUGAUCCCGCCCAACAUAUCUCCAUCAGCCUCUACUUCAAGAGAUAUGUGUUUGAUGCCCAGAAGAGAAUGGUUCAGUCUCCUUGAAGUACAGUCCUGCCCACUGGGCUGGGCCCUUCAGCCAAAGAAUCUCAGGUUAUGGGGACUGGGGCCCUUGCUUGGAUGCACUACCAGUGCCUAACUAGACUGAUCAAAUGUGAUUCCCUCAAGGCUUCUGAAUUGCUUCCCCCUCCAGAUGGACACUCCCCCUCCUAGGCUGAGCUGCCCAAAGGUCCAUGAGCUGAAGGUUUCAUCCCAGCUCAGACUUCCAACUAGUUUAUCAGCUGGCCUUCUGACUGAGGCUGAGGUUCACAAGGGUUCAGAGGAGGAAGGGAUGCUUAUCUUUUCUAGUGUGAACAGAAAUCCAUUUGUAAUCGUUUUAUAACUUCCCAUGUAAACCUUUCCCCGAACACCGUUUUUUGAGCCCAGGGGAACAGCCAACCAGAUGAGAAAGGAAGAGGAGAAAGAGAGGGCACCAAGAAGAAAAAGUCCAAAAUAAAUCAGACUCUUUGUAAAUUUCUUUCAUUUUUCACAAUUUAAAGGUUUUAUUAGGGAUCCAGGGAGUACCUUGUUGGGGAAGUGUCUGUCCCUUAUGUGUGGUUAAGCCAUAAGAAAUCUCUCCCAAGAGGCACCAAGUUUAGGAGCUGGUAAUAGGCAGCAUGAAUCAGGCUCAAAUCUUCUGAGUUGGCUGCAUUAUUCCUGAAUACCACAGUCUGGGAAAACCACCUCUGGGCCAUUGUUCCUGAAAUCUGCCUGCCCCCAGGUUCAUUCCUAUACCUCAGACCAUGAACAAAAUGAGGAGGGUGGACUGAGAAGCUGAUAUCUGAGGUCUAGCUCUGACUGCUGUGAUUUCUGGUUGUGAAUAAAUCUUCAGUGUCCAGGCC